rnacentral:lncRNA from 1 species
UUAAUACAAUAAAUUUUUCAUUAUGAACACAAAUCAAUUACAUUGUCAAUAAAAAUGUUGAUGAUAGUACAUAUCAAUGCACGUACAUAACUGUUGUGUUCACACUUUAUUCCAUACAUAAGUGUAUUAUAUAAGUAAAUAAAUAUAUGCAGCUUAAUUUAUUCCUUCAACUGCAUUGUUCCUUCAACAUUCUUUCCCCAUUAACUAACCAUGUCACAUUUUAGUGGAACAAGGCAAAGAAGGACAAGACUGAGGCACCAACCAAGGAGCCGACAGCGGCCGCGGCUGAGGCACCGCUGCUAGGGCCAGGGGCGGGCGCAGGGACCUCUGUGGCAGCCAGUGCUGCACUCAUGGAGGCGGCAGCGAUGAGAACGGCACAGGUAACCUUCUUCAUGUCCAUGAUGGAUAGUGAAUUUUUUUUUUUUUGGAUAUAUAAGUGGAGAGACCCGCUAGGUUUGUGGAGAAAGAAGCUGUUUUAUUUGCUGUUUAUUUUUUUUUUCUUUUGUUGCAGGUCUGAAGAAGAUUGGGGGGUUGGAAAGGGAUAUAUAGGGUAGGGGUUGGAGCUAUUUGGGGUAAGGGACUAUUUUUUUUGGCUGUGAAAGGGUCAUGCAUGUGUGGUUUUGCAAGGUUUUAGGGUUGGCUUAUAAGGUUUGUGACAAGUGUUGGUUGGACUAGGAAUAUGUGUGGCACAGAAAUUUUGUAUCUACAGGUUGCUAUGUUGGUG